rnacentral:rRNA from 1 species
AGCUUGCUAGUUGCUGACGAGUGGCGGACGGGUGAGUAACGCGUAGGAAUCUACCGAGUAGUGGGGGACAACAGUUGGAAACGACUGCUAAUACCGCAUAAUCCCUGAGGGGGAAAGGAGGGGAUCUGUUUACAGACCUUUCGCUAUUUGAUGAGCCUGCGUGAGAUUAGCUAGUUGGUGAGGUAAUGGCUCACCAAGGCGACGAUCUCUAGCUGGUCUGAGAGGAUGAUCAGCCACACUGGAACUGAGACACGGUCCAGACUCCUACGGGAGGCAGCAGUGGGGAAUAUUGCACAAUGGGGGAAACCCUGAUGCAGCCAUGCCGCGUGUGUGAAGAAGGCCUUCGGGUUGUAAAGCACUUUCAGCGAGGAGGAAAGGAGUAUGUUUAAUAAACGUGCUCUGUGACGUUACUCGCA